rnacentral:rRNA from 1 species
AUUGAACGCUGGCGGCAGGCCUAACACAUGCAAGUCGAACGAGUGGCGGACGGGUGAGUAAUGUCUUGGAAACUGCCCGAUGUAGGGGGAUAACUACUGGAAACGGUAGCUAAUACCGCAUACCAUCGGAUGUGCCCAGAUUGGAUUAGCUAGUCGGUGGGGUAACGGCUCACCUAGGCGACGAUCCCUAGCUGGCCUGAGAGGAUGACCAGCCACACUGGAACUGAGACACGGGCCAGACUCCUACGGGAGGCAGCAGUGGGGAAUAUUGCACAAUGGGCGCAAGCCUGAUGCAGCAAUGCCGCGUGUAUGAAGAAGGCUUUCGGAUUGUAAAGUACUUUCAGCGGGGAGGCGUUACCCGCAGAAGAAGCACCGGCUAACUCCGUGCCAGCAGCCGCGGUAAUUC